UCAGUAGAUAAGUUGGCCGCGAUGAUUACAGGGUGGGUAUCUUCUGGUCCUAGAAAGGCAUACUUAAGAGUUGUCGGAAGUGGCUUUAACUCAAGUUUAGGUGGAGAAUCAAUGGAAGGACAAAGUGGUGCGCUAGCAAUAGGGGGAAGAGGUUCAGGUCGGAUCUUCCAAGGAAGGGAACUCAUGGGAGAUUAAUUGUUGAGUAAGAUGUUGACUUCUUCUAUGGCCUUGUCUAUGUCAAAGUUGUCAAUGUCAAAAUGGGCCAAGCAUGCCUCUAGGGGGUCAUCUGCUAGGAUAUAGGGAAGGGCUUCCUCUACAAGAUCAUCCAUUUCAUCAAUUAGGCAACACCCGUCUUCCCUCACAUGUUGGUCAGCGGCAUGAA
rnacentral:lncRNA from 1 species